ACCGGAGCUAAUACCGGAUAAUAUAUUGAACUGCAUGGUUCAACAGUGAAAGACGGUUUUGCUGUCACUUAUAGAUGGAUCCGCGCCGCAUUAGCUAGUUGGUAAGGUAACGGCUUACCAAGGCGACGAUGCGUAGCCGACCUGAGAGGGUGAUCGGCCACACUGAACUGAGACACGGUCCAG
rnacentral:rRNA from 1 species